rnacentral:rRNA from 1 species
UACGAAGGGGGCUAGCGUUGCUCGGAAUCACUGGGCGUAAAGGGUGCGUAGGCGGGUCUUUAAGUCAGGGGUGAAAUCCUGGAGCUCAACUCCAGAACUGCCUUUGAUACUGAAGAUCUUGAGUUCGGGAGAGGUGAGUGGAACUGCGAGUGUAGAGGUGAAAUUCGUAGAUAUUCGCAAGAACACCAGUGGCGAAGGCGGCUCACUGGCCCGGAACUGACGCUGAGGCACGAAAGCGUGGGGAGCAAACAGG